rnacentral:rRNA from 1 species
CCUACGGGCGGCAGCAGUGGGGAAUAUUGGACAAUGGGCGAAAGCCUGAUCCAGCCAUGCCGCGUGUGUGAAGAAGGCCUUCGGGUUGUAAAGCACUUUCAGUGGGGAAGAAAGCCUUGGGGCUAAUACCCUCGAGGAAGGACAUCACCCACAGAAGAAGCACCGGCUAACUCCGCGCCAGCAGCCGCGGUAAUACGGAGGGUGCGAGCGUUAAUCGGAAUUACUGGGCGUAAAGCGCGCGUAGGCGGUCUGAUAAGCCGGUUGUGAAAGCCCCGGGCUCAACCUGGGAACGGCAUCCGGAACUGUCAGGCUAGAGUGCAGGAGAGGAGGGUAGAAUUCCCGGUGUAGCGGUGAAAUGCGUAGAGAUCGGGAGGAAUACCGGUGGCGAAGGCGGCCUUCUGGACUGACACUGACGCUGAGGUGCGAAAGCGUGGGUAGCAAACAGGAUUAGAUACCCGAGUAGUC